GACGAACGCUGGCGGCGUGCUUAACACAUGCAAGUCGAGCGGAAAGGCCACUUCGGUGGUACUCGAGCGGCGAACGGGUGAGUAACACGUGAGUAAUCUGCCCCUGGCUUUGGGAUAGCCACCGGAAACGGUGAUUAAUACCGGAUACGACCACUUCUCGCAUGGGAUGGUGGUGGAAAGUUUUUUCGGCCAGGGAUGUGCUCGCGGCCUAUCAGCUUGAUGGUGAGGUAAUGGCUCACCAUGGCUUCGACGGGUAGCCGGCCUGAGAGGGUGACCGGUCACACUGGGACUGAGACACGGCCCCGACGCCUACGGGAGGAAGCAGUGGGGAAUAUUGGACAAUGGGCGGAAGCCUGAUCCAGCAACGCCGCGUGAGGGAUGACGGCCUUCGGGUUGUAAACCUCUUUCAGCAGGGGCGAAGCGCAAGUGACGGUACCUGCAGAAGAAGCACCGGCCAACUACGUGCCAGCCGCCGCGGUAA
rnacentral:rRNA from 1 species